AUUGAACGCUGGCGGCAGGCCUAACACAUGCAAGUCGAACGAGUGGCGGACGGGUGAGUAAUGACUGGGAACCUGCCCGAUGGAGGGGGAUAACUACUGGAAACGGUAGCUAAUACCGCAUACCAUCGGAUGUGCCCAGAUGGGAUUAGCUUGUAGGUGAGGUAACGACUCACCUAGGCGACGAACCCUAGCUGGUCUGAGAGGAUUACCAGCCACGCUGGAACUGAGACACGGUCCAGACUCCUACGGGAGGCAGCAGUGGGGAAUAUUGCACAAUCGGCGCAAGCCUGAUUCAGCCAUGCCGCGUGUAUUGAGAAGGCCUUCGGGUUGUAAAGUACUUUCAGCGGGGAGGCGUUACCCGCAGAAGAAGCACCGGCUAACUCCGUGCCAGCAGCCGCGGUAAUAC
rnacentral:rRNA from 1 species